AUACCUGAUGCUGAGGAGCUAGAUCUCCAUGGCACUGUUCCCUCUAAGCUGCGCGCGUGCGCAAUUGCGCACUGCUGACACGGUGUCCACGCACAGAAAAUCUGCGCUGGCACAAAAAGAAAAAAAACUCAACCUAAAUUGUAAAUAAAAUAAACACGUAACAAUUCAUUCUGUGCUAUUUUUCAAUGUGAGUCAGUGAGUGACCGGUGACUGGCUGCUGCAGCCAAUGAUGCGACUCACAUACGUAUUUACCAUAGACUGUAUAUAAUGGUAUUUACGCAGCUAAUCGUCAGGCGUCCUUAUGUGCAGCCAUCGUUGUUCUCAUAGAUAUGAAUGAGUAGAUAGGACACGCCCCUUUGAGCUGCGUGCUACAGCGAGGCUAAGCUAGUGGGGGCAAAGUUUCAGUGCAUUCCAUUGAUGUAGACGGCGUGAAAACGGAAACAAGAAGUAUGCCGGCUCACUGUGCUGCAUACAGUUACACACUACGUCGUACGAUUGAGACAAGGAAACUUGGAAUGACUUUUCAUAGGUAAGAAUAGUUUUUGGCUCUUUUUUCAUUAUGAAAUCUUGUUGAGAGCUUCCAGUCUAUGAGAGCUAACUAGUUAGCCACUAGCAAAACGCUAAGGCGAGCUAGCAGCUUGACAAGCAAAUACCAGACGAUUAAUAGUAGCUGUAGUAUAGUUGUACAAGCAGUAGUAGUAAUACUAAAAGUACAAGCAGCAGUAGUAGUAUAAACAGCUGUUAGAGUCGUAGAAGUAGUAUCAGCAUUUGUAAUAGUAUUACAAGUUGUAGUAGCAGUCCCAGUAUCAGCAGCAGUAGUUUACUACCACCACUAGUACUAGUAGUAGUCACAUUGCUAUUACUACCACCAAUACUACCAAUAGUAGUUAUAAAGCCUAACUCAUGUAUAUCCAGAUUACCAUCUAUGUUCUUCCUCCAAACCCAUUUUAUGAUUGGGACUACAGGCAGUUCUCUAGGACUGCUCUCAAAUAAUUGAAAUGUUACUAAACAAGGUUAUACUUAUCAAAUUAAAUAGCUCUGGUCUCCAGUAUAUUGGCAAAUUCGGUUCUUUGUACUUAAUUUAUUAGCAUGAUUUCUUUUUAAUAUGUUGUGUACAGACUUAAUUACUUCUCUGUCUACUUUUCUUACUCCAUGUAGGUUUCCCAGAGACUAUGGGUUGAGGAGGAAUUGGAAGUUUGUUGGCUUAGACCUGGUGUCAUUCCAUCAGUGUUAAACUUCCCGGCUCAUCUUGGAAGAGUACGUACCAGAAAGACCACGACCAAGCAGCCUUGAGAUCUUAGACAGCGUCUCCCUGAGGUCCCUCUCUAUCUCCCCACACAUCCACCAACCACUGGAACACAUCUCCAAAGUUCUGCCAGGCCAGCUCAGCUUCCCCUCAGAAGAAGUGCCACCACCUGCCAGAUGAAGGAGCCUUUUGAGAGGCAGCUGGCAUCGUGAUUGGACUGUACUUUGGUCUGUUCCAAUCCAGCUUCAGCUCCAGAGACGGCAGGCGGGACGAGUCAAUGGAGGCCGGGUGGACGAAGGCAUGCAGCUGAGUACAAUCCAGAAAACAACAGAGGAGGAGUGCAGCAUCCCAGAGCCAGAACAAACAGAGUAGCAUCGUAUGUCUCUUAGAAAACAUCAUAGUAUAGCCUUUGGUAUGAAAAAACACCAUCAUAUACAUCGUAGAUUGUACAAAUAACAAGUCAAAGGAAAGAGACAUACAUUGUAGAAUUGUAGUAAUUGUGGGCUGACUGAUUUACUGAUUAUCAGUAUUUUAUUUUUUACUGAUUUAUAGUAAUAAAUACAUUUAAAAAUGGC